rnacentral:rRNA from 1 species
ACGGGAGGCAGCAGUGGGGGAUAUUGCACAAUGGGGGAAACCCUGAUGCAGCGACGCCGCGUGGAGGAAGAAGGUUUUCGGAUUGUAAACUCCUGUCGUUAGGGACGAAUCAUGACGGUACCUAACAAGAAAGCACCGGCUAACUACGUGCCAGCAGCCGCGGUAAAACGUAGGGUGCAAGCGUUGUCCGGAAUUACUGGGUGUAAAGGGAGCGCAGGCGGACCGGCAAGUUGGAAGUGAAAUCUAUGGGCUCAACCCAUAAAUUGCUUUCAAAACUGCUGGCCUUGAGUAGUGCAGAGGUAGGUGGAAUUCCCGGUGUAGCGGUGGAAUGCGUAGAUAUCGGGAGGAACACCAGUGGCGAAGGCGACCUACUGGGCACCAACUGACGCUGAGGCUCGAAAGCAUGGGUAGCAAACAGGAUUAGAUACCCUGGUA